rnacentral:lncRNA from 1 species
AUGCUUCAGUUUCAUCAAACGUACCUUCCAGAAUGUAAUGACUUGUAUAUUUAUUGCAAGAUGAAAAUGUUUCGUGAGGACCGUGUCUUGCCUUCAAUCCUGUGUCCUGUACCGUUUUGCACAGGCAAAGGUGUGUUUUGCGAGAGGCUGCCCAGUUUUGACAGGCAGACGGCAGAAGCUUGUUUCGAUGAAGCUGACAGAUGUGGAAGACCACUGGUGUGUGGAUUCUACAAGCGCUUUGACCCAGCGCUGCAGUUCUUGUACAAGAAAGUCCGUGACAGCCAGGCGCUGGGGAGGAUCCACCGGAUAUCAACAAUUAGCAGCAUAUAUCCAGCAGCAUCUCUGAGCUUCCUAAAAACAUCAGGUGGAAUUUUUUAUAAUGCUGCUGUGCAUGAUAUAGAUAUUAUCAGUUUGUUGUUGGGAGAGAGUGCACCAGAUACAAUAUUUUCACUGGGACAUGCAUUCUGUGCAGAUAUGGCCUACUUGAAGGAUGCAGACACUGUAGCGGUCAGCAUGAAAUUUCGUAGUGGAGCAAUUGUUACUUUGGACGUCAGUCAGCACUGCACUAAAAGCUGUGAUCAGAGACUAGAGGUUCACGGUUCUCAAGGAACGUUGCGGGUAGAUAAUCAGAAUCCCCUGGGGAUUACAGAGCACGGGACUUCGGUAUCCAUAUAUUCACAGACCCAAGCUGAUCGCUACAGAGAUGCACACAGGGAGCUCUUCCGACACUUUCUGAGAACCCUGAAAGGCAAGGAACCCCCCGUGAUAACCAAAGAGCAGUUUCUCUGGACGAUUCAGGUUGCUGCAGCUGCUGAACAGUCCUGGAGAAAUGGAUCCGCUGUUGACUUGCGCAGCGAAGCAAUAGAUUCAUCUGUAAUCAAGACUGAGAUAAUGUGA